UACGAAGGGGGCUAGCGUUGCUCGGAAUCACUGGGCGUAAAGCGCACGUAGGCGGCUUUUUAAGUCAGGGGUGAAAUCCUGGAGCUCAACUCCAGAACUGCCUUUGAUACUGAGAAGCUUGAGUCCGGGAGAGGUGAGUGGAACUGCGAGUGUAGAGGUGAAAUUCGUAGAUAUUAGGAAGAACACCAGUGGCGAAGGCGGCUCACUGGCCCGGUACUGACGCUGAGGCGCGAAAGCGUGGGGAGCAAAGCAGG
rnacentral:rRNA from 1 species